CUGGGGAUUUCUUGGGUUUUGUCGGAUGUUCUGGUUUAGCUUCUGGUUUAGGUUCAGGUUUAGUUUCUGGCUUAGUUUCUGGUUUAGGCAUCGUCAACUGUUCUGGUGGUUUAUUUUGAACCGGAAAGGGCGAUUCAGGUUCUUUCGUUGUUGCCUCAGUCACAGUUGCUUCAUCAGUACGUGUAUGAUUAGAAACUGACUCAUCACUUGCUCGGGGCCGCCACAUUGCAGCAGAA
rnacentral:lncRNA from 1 species